rnacentral:pre_miRNA from 1 species
GCUUAUGGAUGAGCAAAGAAAAUGGUUUCUAGAGACAGAAAUCUACUCUUGGUGAAGAUGCUGUGAA